GCUUAGAAGCAGCCACUCAUUAAAAGAGUGCGUAAUAGCUCACUGGUCGAGUGACUCUGCGCCGAAAAUUUAACGGGGCUAAACUAUACACCGAAGCUUGGGAUACAUCUAAUGUAUGGUAGGAGAGCGUUCUGUAUGGGGAGAAGUCGUAGCGAAAGCGGCGGUGGACUAUACAGAAGUGAGAAUGCCGGAAUAAGUAGCGAGAAUUAAGUGAGAAUCUUAAUGGCCGAAAGUCUAAGGUUUUUGGAGGAAGGUUCGUCCGCUCCAAGUAAGUCGGGAGCUAAGGUCAGGCCGAAAGGCGUAGCCGAUGCACAUACGGUUGAUAUUCCGUAACCAUCUGUAAUUUAAGCAAAGGGACACUUCAAAAGGGUGUGACCCGGGCGUUGGUUGACCCGGGCGUAAGGGACCGAAAUUAGAGUAGGGAAGCACACUUGGCUGAAGGCGAGAAAAGCUUUGCGUAUAGAAACAGAUGCCCGUACCGCAAACCGACACAGGUGGACAGGAAGAGAAUUCUAAGGCCAGCGGGAGAAGGGUAGUUAAGGAACUCGGCAAAUUGACUCCGUAACUUCGGAAUAAGGAGUGCUCGAAAGAGCCGCAGAGAAUAGGCCCAGGCGACUGUUUAGCAAAAACACAGGUCUCUGCCAAAUCGAAAGAUGAAGUAUAGGGGCUGACACCUGCCCGGUGCCGGAAGGUUAAGAGGAGGAGUGAGAGCUCCGAAUUGAAGCCCCGGUAAACGGCGGCCGUAACUAUAACGGUCCUAAGGUAGCGAAAUUCCUUGUCGGGUAAGUUCCGACCCGCACGAAUGGUGUAACGAUCUGGACACUGUCUCAACUACCCACCCGGCGAAAUUGUAGUACCGGUGAAGAUGCCGGUUACCUGCGGCAAGACGGAAAGACCCCAUGGAGCUUUACUGUAGCCUGAUAUUGGGUUUCGGAAAUCUAUGUACAGGAUAGGCGGGAGACUGGGAAACAUGAGCGUCAGCUUGUGUGGAGUCGAUGUUGGGAUACCGCCCUUAGGUUUCUGGAAUUCUAACCUGCGGCCGUGAAUCCGGUCGGGGGACAUUGUCAGGUGGGCAGUUUGACUGGGGCGGUCGCCUCCGAAAAGGUAACGGAGGCGCUCAAAGGUUAGCUCAGCACGGACGGAAACCGUGCCUCUGAGUGUAAACGCAAAAGCUAGCCUAACUGCGAGGGUGACGGCCCGAGCAGUAACGAAAGUUGGAGUUAGUGAUCCGGCGGUAUGUGAAUGGAAAUGCCGUCGCUCAACGGAUAAAAGCUACCCUGGGGAUAACAGGCUGAUCUCCCCCAAGAGUCCACAUCGACGGGGAGGUUUGGCACCUCGAUGUCGGCUCAUCACAUCCUGGGGCUGUAUUCGGUCCCAAGGGUUCGGCUGUUCGCCGAUUAAAGUGGUACGCGAGCUGGGUUCAGAACGUCGCGAGACAGUUCGGUCCCUAUCUGUCGUGGGCGCAGGAUAUUUGAGGAGCUCUGUCCUUAGUACGAGAGGACCGGGAUGGACGUACCUCUGGUGCACCAGUUGUCAUGCCAAUGGCACGGCUGGGCAGCUAUGUACGGAACGGAUAAACGCUGAAAGCAUCUAAGCGUGAAGCCGACUCCAAGAUUAGAUAUCCCAUCGUAUAACGAGUAAGACCCCUUGAAGACUACGAGGUUGAUAGGCUGCGUGUGUAAGUGCCGUGAGGCAUUCAGCUUGGCAGUACUAAUAGGUCGAGGGCUUGACCA
rnacentral:rRNA from 1 species